rnacentral:rRNA from 1 species
AUUGAACGCUGGCGGCAUGCCCUACACAUGCAAGUCGAACGGUAACGGGUCCUUCGGGAUGCCGACGAGUGGCGAACGGGUGAGUAAUAUAUCGGAACGUGCCCAGUAGUGGGGGAUAACUGCUCGAAAGAGCAGCUAAUACCGCAUACGACCUGAGGGUGAAAGGGGGGGAUCGCAAGACCUCUCGCUAUUGGAGCGGCCGAUAUCAGAUUAGCUAGUUGGUGGGGUAAAGGCCUACCAAGGCAACGAUCUGUAGUUGGUCUGAGAGGACGACCAGCCACACUGGGACUGAGACACGGCCCAGACUCCUACGGGAGGCAGCAGUGGGGAAUUUUGGACAAUGGGCGCAAGCCUGAUCCAGCAAUGCCGCGUGCAGGAAGAAGGCCUUCGGGUUGUAAACUGCUUUUGUCAGGGAAGAAAUCUUCUGGGCUAAUACCCCGGGAGGAUGACGGCACCUGAAGAAUAAGCACCGGCUAACUACGUGCCAGCAGCCGCGGUAACAC